UUAAGUUGCCCAGGAUUACACAGCUGGGUCCCCUCUUCCUGAGGAUAAACUUGCAUAGAAAAAGCCUAUAAAGCAAGGCUGGCUCCUGGUGACUUACUGGAGUUAGAAGAAGCUGGGACAAGUCCUGGCUGAGAAUUCCCUCUUCCUCUGCACUCCAGAGCCUGGGCAUCAGGAAAGAGUCUAAGCCACAGGAGUGGGCUGACACCCAGGGAGGAAGGCGGAGUCAGCACUAGAGAAAGGACAGAUGAAUAACUGCAAGUUCUAAGCCCGAUGGUCUGUGGCCCUGAGGAGAUCCAAGCGUCAAAGAAAGUGAAGACGUAGGACUUGGGACCUGCUCAUCCAUCGUGACUCUGUAGCGAUUAGACGCCGCUCUGCUCCUUAGAGCCUGCUAACUGUGAUCA
rnacentral:lncRNA from 1 species